AUUGAACGCUGGCGGCAUGCUUUACACAUGCAAGUCGAGCGGAGAGAGGUAGCUUGCUACUGAUCUUAGCGGCGGACGGGUGAGUAAUGCUUAGGAAUCUGCCUAUUAGUGGGGGACAACAUUUCGAAAGGAAUGCUAAUACCGCAUACGUCCUACGGGAGAAAGCAGGGGAUCUUCGGACCUUGCGCUAAUAGAUGAGCCUAAGUCGGAUUAGCUAGUUGGUGGGGUAAAGGCCUACCAAGGCGACGAUCUGUAGCGGGUCUGAGAGGAUGAUCCGCCACACUGGGACUGAGACACGGCCCAGACUCCUACGGGAGGCAGCAGUGGGGAAUAUUGGACAAUGGGCGGAAGCCUGAUCCAGCCAUGCCGCGUGUGUGAAGAAGGCCUUAUGGCUGUAAAGCACUUUAAGCGAGGAGGAGGCUACUUUAGUUAAUACCUAGAGAUAGUGGACGUUACUCGCAGAAUAAGCACCGGCUAACUCUGUGCCAGCCGCCGCCGUAACAC
rnacentral:rRNA from 1 species